GAGGAUAUAACUCAGUUGGUAGAGUGCUUGCUUUGCAUGCAUCAGGCCCUGGGUUCGAUUCCCAGCAGCACCA
rnacentral:tRNA from 1 species